rnacentral:rRNA from 1 species
UACGUAGGGACCAAGCGUUGUUCGGAUUUACUGGGCGUAAAGGGCGCGUAGGCGGCAAUUCAAGUCAUCUGUGAAAUCUCCGGGCUUAACCCGGAACGGUCAGAUGAUACUGCUUUGCUAGAGUGCGGAAGGGGCAAUUGGAAUUCUUGGUGUAGCGGUGAAAUGCGUAGAUAUCAAGAGGAACACCUGAGGUGAAGACGGGGUUGCUGGGCCGACACUGACGCUGACAGCGCGAAAGCCAGGGGAGCAAACGGGG